rnacentral:tRNA from 2 species
GGGCGAUUAGCUCAGUUGGCUAGAGCGCCUGCUUUACACGCAGGAGGUCACAGGUUCAAGUCCUGUAUCGCCCA